UAGAGUUUGAUCCUGGCUCAGAACGAACGCUGGCGGCGUGGAUAAGACAUGCAAGUCGAACGAGAGAAUUGCUAGCUUGCUAAUAAUUCUCUAGUGGCGCACGGGUGAGUAACACGUGAGUGACCUGCCCCCGAGAGCGGGAUAGCCCUGGGAAACUGGGAUUAAUACCGCAUAGUAUCGAAAGAUUAAAGCAGCAAUGCGCUUGGGGAUGGGCUCGCGGCCUAUUAGUUAGUUGGUGAGGUAACGGCUCACCAAGGCGAUGACGGGUAGCCGGUCUGAGAGGAUGUCCGGCCACACUGGAACUGAGGCACGGUCCAGACACCUACGGGUGGCAGCAGUCGAGAAUCAUUCACAAUGGGGGAAACCCUGAUGGUGCGACGCCGCGUGGGGGAAUGAAGGUCUUCGGAUUGUAAACCCCUGUCAUGUGGGAGCAAAUUAAAAAGAUAGUACCACAAGAGGAAGAGACGGCUAACUCUGUGCCAGCAGCCGCGGUAAUACAGAGGUCUCAAGCGUUGUUCGGAAUCACUGGGCGUAAAGCGUGCGUAGGCUGUUUCGUAAGUCGUGUGUGAAAGGCGCGGGCUCAACCCGCGGACGGCACAUGAUACUGCGAGACUAGAGUAAUGGAGGGGGAACCGGAAUUCUCGGUGUAGCAGUGAAAUGCGUAGAUAUCGAGAGGAACACUCGUGGCGAAGGCGGGUUCCUGGACAUUAACUGACGCUGAGGCACGAAGGCCAGGGGAGCGAAAGGGAUUAGAUACCCCUGUAGUCCUGGCAGUAAACGGUGCACGCUUGGUGUGCGGGGAAUCGACCCCCUGCGUGCCGGAGCUAACGCGUUAAGCGUGCCGCCUGGGGAGUACGGUCGCAAGAUUAAAACUCAAAGAAAUUGACGGGGACCCGCACAAGCGGUGGAGUAUGUGGCUUAAUUCGAUGCAACGCGAAGAACCUUACCUGGGCUUGACAUGUAAUGAACAACAUGUGAAAGCAUGCGACUCUUCGGAGGCGUUACACAGGUGCUGCAUGGCCGUCGUCAGCUCGUGUCGUGAGAUGUUUGGUUAAGUCCAGCAACGAGCGCAACCCCUGUUGCCAGUUACCAGCACGUGAAGGUGGGGACUCUGGCGAGACUGCCCAGAUCAACUGGGAGGAAGGUGGGGACGACGUCAGGUCAGUAUGGCCCUUAUGCCCAGGGCUGCACACGUACUACAAUGCCCAGUACAGAGGGGGCCGAAGCCGCGAGGCGGAGGAAAUCCUAAAAACUGGGCCCAGUUCGGACUGUAGGCUGCAACCCGCCUACACGAAGCCGGAAUCGCUAGUAAUGGCGCAUCAGCUACGGCGCCGUGAAUACGUUCCCGGGUCUUGUACACACCGCCCGUCA
rnacentral:rRNA from 1 species